ACGGACAAACCCCAACGAAAUCGCACCCCCACGACUGAACCACCACUCGCCACUUUUCGAGUUCCUUGAAUAUAUACCCGAACCAAUUCCUUCCUACCUUAACUUUCGAAUCUUUUUUUACUCUCGUCUUCUUUGCGCGACCUCGGCAAACACCAAAUCGCAACAACCUUGAAUCCAGAAACCGACAACACCACAAACCGCCACCACCGACGCAAACCGAAAACCACCGAAAACACCAACCACCACCAUAAACUUGACCCUGGCACACCGAAAAACACCAAACCCCGCCGAAAUCGUACCCCAAAAUCUGAAAAAACAGAACCACAAAAUCUGAAAAUACGAACCAAGACUCGAAUUUUUUUCGCGGUUUUUAGGCAUUACUGCUGACGCUGAUAGCAAAGGGAAGUGGAAAUCUGCCGGUGAGUGUUUGGGUUGCAACUGGUCGCCUGUUGUUGAAGGUCUGUGAAGCCGUGCUGGUUCGAAUUAAAUAGGACCAAGGCACAUACAUGAUGAAGGAGAUUAAAGAGGAGAGAAAAAGUCAUAAGGAAUUGACGCAGCGUGCCAUUAUGUUGUCCCUAAACAUUACAAAGAAGAAUAGUGUUGAUUUGUUGAAUUUUUAUGCCAUUAAUAAUGUCGUCACUAGUCCUUAUCUCUCCAACAGGUCCAAAUGUGGCGUACAACAGCCCCACGAUCUUGAUUCCGCGAGUCUUGCGGGCAUUACUACUGACCAAUGGAAAAAUCUUUUGGAUUUGUUAACUCUUCCUAAACCAAACGAUCAUUUGAAUGGAAAAUCUUUGUGGAUUUUAGAUACAUGUGUCAUUCAUCAUGUCACAGGCACUUUAUCAUAUUUACAUAAUGCACGAAAAAUUGAUGGAUCUCCGGUGGGGUUGCCGGAUGGUAGCUCUGCCGAGGCUACCCAUGAGGGAGAUGUGAUUCUUCUUGGAAAUCUUCAAAUUACUUAUAUUUUAUUUGUGCCUAAUCUAGACUGACAGCAAAAUGAGGAUGUUGAUUGGAGAGGGUGAGCGGAAAGAUGGACUUUUUUUUUCCCGAGGUGUUCCAAAGGUGAAGAUCAUGGCUGUGGAUGGAAUGGGAUGGAUUGAUAUCUGGCAUAAGCGUUUGGGUCAUCCUUCGGAGAAAGUUCUGCAUCAUUUACCGUGUGUGAGUCCAUCUAGCAUUAGUAGUUGCAAUAAAGAUGGAUGUGAUGUUUGUUUUCGUGCUCAUCAACCUCGAACUAGUUUUCCUAAAAGCAAUAGUAGAGCUAGUAGAAUUUUUGAAUUAAUUCAUUGUGAUUUAUGGGGGCCAUAUCAAAUUAAGUCUGCUUGUGGUGCUUCAUAUUUUUUGACGAUUGUAGAUGGUUUUUCCCGCACUGUUUGGACGUAUUUAUUAUAUAAUAAAUUGGAAGUUGAGACUA